rnacentral:lncRNA from 1 species
ACGAGAUUUUUCUUAAAGCCAUUAUGAAACUUUAGAGUAUAAGUCAAAUAAAAUAAUACUGUAAGACUUUUAUUGAUCGACAAGUAACUAACCAAGUUUUGAAUUCAAAAUUCGCAAGGCUCUCUGCUUAUCUAUAGUCACAUGUUGUAACCAAUUUCAAAAUAAAUUAUCAUUGUCUCAUCAUUCGAUAAAAAGAGGUAUCGAAAAAAAUAUCGUUGACUCAUCAUACACCCUACUUACAUUUUUUGGUUUGUCCAAUACUUUUGCUUUGAACUUUCAAAUUCAAAAUACAUCCUUUUAUUUUAAUAAGUUGAGAGUUAUACAUAAGUCAAUAUGUCUAUAGUUUGAAUCGGUAAUCGAUGACAGCAAACAUUUCAUAUUAAUAUAUUUUUUUUCAAAAUUAUCAACAAAAUUUUGAAUAUAAGAAAAACAAACUUUAGGUUAAAGAUUGGUUCAUUAGUGUUAGAUGUAUUCUUCUAACAUUUUAAUUGCUACUGUUUUCUUCCUACAGUUUUUCCUUGCUUUCUUUAAUUUAAACUCCUAUUAUAUGUGUUUCAAAAAAAAAAAAACUCCUAUUACAUAUCAGUACAUCACUAGCAACAAAGUAUCGAUUGACAAGGCAACAUCAAGAAAAUUAUAAAGAGGAAGAAGACGAUCAAGGAUGGCCUGGUGGAAACAACAUCUCUGCGAGCAUUUAACAUCCAACCAAUCGCAAUAAAGUUUUCUCCUUGUUGGGGCCUUCUCAUUUGGACUCUUAUUAAAUUAAAUUUUCCUAAUUAAGAGUUUUACUUCAAAGGUGAAAAAGAAAAGAAAAACACUUUAACCAAAAAAAAAAAGAAAAAGUAAAAACAAAAAGCUGUAUUAAUUAAUGGCUAGGGGAAGGAUUCUUCUAGCUCGGAUGCUUCUCAUUAAUUAGCAAACGGUGAAUUAAUGGCACAUAUGCCCACUGUACGUGUGAAGAUGAUUAAUGUGGGCAUUAUAAUCAUAGUUAGUAUAGACAAGUACUACUAAAUAGAAACUUUUAAUUACCCACAUCUCACGGAGAAAUCAAACCAAAUCUAUGUUUAAAUCCCCCACUAAAUUACAAUUAAUUAACCACUAAUUAAAAUAUAUUCCUUUUUCUAUUUCCCC